CUUCUGUAAACCUGAUGAGUACAUUAAUCUGCCUGGAAGCUGGGCUGGCUACUCCUCCAACUCUGCUGAAGGUGCUCAAUCCUGACGGUAACAUUUGCUCCCUUUCUGACAAUGAAGUGUUGUGGAUCUCAUGGGUAGAGAGAAAGUGGGAGAGAACUUAUAGUGCUUUCUCUUCUUUGAGAAUCAUCUCCAGCUGAGGUCCAGGAGACAAAAAGGCAAACCAGAGGAGUGGAGCCACAAUUCCCUCUGCAUGACUAUGCCCAUAGCCAUAGAUCGUGAAGAAGUAUCCACUGCAUCCACAGGGGGAUGUGAUGCUCCCCUAUCACUCUACACGGGGUUCUGAAAUUGUGUAAAGUCAUCUGGAGGCGAAGGAGAUGCUGAAGUCAUUGCCUCCUCUGAUGAGGAAGAUAGGAAUCUCUCCAGUUCCAGCAGAACUGUCAGAACUGAGAUGUGGGCUUCCUCUUCCAGCAUCGUGUCUGAGCAUCUACUCAAAGGCACCUGUACCAGGGAGGCAGGUGAAGGUUUUCUUGUGGAUCAGGUGUGACACAGAGGAGAAUACUAAUAGUUCUGACCCAGACCAUGCAGUGCUGAGAAGGAACUAGAGACACAUCUGUCUGCCCCACCCUUUAUCACCUCGGACGAAACCAUGAGAUGAUCCAGGGUGCAUGCACAGACCAACGAACACUACUUUCAAAUUCUCCUGCUCUGGAUGCAUGUGCACAUGUGGAAACUAUCAGUGGAAUACAAUAGGAACCAUCUCUCGAAGAAGAAUAUUGUGGUACACCAGUUACCUAGACAUCUGGUGGCAUCCUUGGUAUACCUAAUGCUUGCAGGAAAAGUUUAGGCACUCCAAGCUUUGUCCUUUGGCUGCAGCUGCUGCAUACCCCUACCAGCACUAAGCUGUCUCCAGCCAGCUCAAGUCCUCCAGUGCCAUCUCCCAAGCUGUUUGCUACCUGGCCUGAUCUCCUCAGCCAGCUCCUAGGUUACUGCCUACAACUCCUACUCUCAUGCAACUUCUGACUGCCUCCUGAGCCUGGUCCCCUUUGACCUUUGAAUAGACUUCCAGCCAGUAGAUGACUCCAUAACCUCUAGAGUACAGGAAAGGAGAAGGAGCGGGAAAGAAUGAAAUAGUGCCAGUCCACGAGCAAGCAGGAUUAUUACAAUAAUUACAUUUUGUUGUAAAACUGCAGUUUAUAAGCCUGGUCAAAGAAGUGGGUUAUGAGAAGAUACGUAGAGAAAAACUUUUAUAUAAUAAUAUUUGCUGAAGAUUUUUUCCUGUGUUACAAGAGUGAGCAUGGAAAAGUUGUGAGAUGACAUCACCUGAGAGAGAAUCCUGCAACAGGUACAAACUUCAUUUCUCUUUUGCUGUGGAUAGUUUCCGCUUUGGUGUUCAGUAAAUAUAGGGCCAUCUAUGGAUUACUUAGUAAUCAUUUUGAACAUUCAGAAAUGUAAUGGGUUGUAUUUUAUCCCAAUUUCGAGCAAAACAGUAUUGCCUCUUUAAUAAGAGGAGAAUUUUAGCUUUUGUAAGCUAAUUCCUAUGUGGAAGAGAAAUGUGAGGCAGAGUCAGGGUAUUUUUCAGUAUGUACCUUGUAAAACAAAUUUCAAGUCCUGUUUCCUUGGACAGACUUGCUGAAGCAGCUGCCUUUUGUAGAACCCUCAAUUAUGACACCUCCACUCUUUUUCCCAGAAGAUGCUGUCUUCACCCUCUGUCUCUCUCUCUCUGAGCCUGAUUAAACUCACAGU